rnacentral:rRNA from 1 species
CCUACGGGCGGCAGCAGUGGGGAAUAUUGGACAAUGGGGGGAACCCUGAUCCAGCCAUGCCGCGUGUGCGAAGAAGGCCCUCGGGUUGUAAAGCACUUUCAGUGAGGAAGAACGCCUGGUGGUUAAUACCCAUCAGGAAAGACAUCACUCACAGAAGAAGCACCGGCUAACUCCGUGCCAGCAGCCGCGGUAAUACGGAGGGUGCGAGCGUUAAUCGGAAUUACUGGGCGUAAAGCGCGCGUAGGUGGCUUGAUAAGCCGGUUGUGAAAGCCCCGGGCUCAACCUGGGAACGGCAUCCGGAACUGUCAAGCUAGAGUGCAGGAGAGGAAGGUAGAAUUCCCGGUGUAGCGGUGAAAUGCGUAGAGAUCGGGAGGAAUACCAGUGGCGAAGGCGGCCUUCUGGACUGACACUGACACUGAGGUGCGAAAGCGUGGGUAGCAAACAGGAUUAGAUACCCUGGUAGUC